rnacentral:rRNA from 1 species
UUUAUUUGAGAGUUUGAUCCUGGCUCAGGAUGAACGCUGGCGGCGUGCCUAACACAUGCAAGUUGAGCGAUUUACUUCGGUAAAGAGCGGCGGACGGGUGAGUAACGCGUGGGUAACCUACCCUGUACACACGGAUAACAUACCGAAAGGUAUGCUAAUACGGGAUAAUAUAUUUGAGAGGCAUCUCUUGAAUAUCAAAGGUGAGCCAGUACAGGAUGGACCCGCGUCUGAUUAGCUAGUUGGUAAGGUAACGGCUUACCAAGGCGACGAUCAGUAGCCGACCUGAGCGGGUGAUCGGCCACAUUGGAACUGAGACA